UUGGAUUUCUGGUGAAGCUGGGGUGGUCCACCGCAAGGUGAGCACUGCUCUGGUUCGCCAUCCUCUCGGAGGCGGCUAGUGCCAUUAACUUGGUGCUUGUCGUGGCCGGGACCUUUACUUUGAAAAAAUUAGAGUGUUCAAAGCAGGCUUACGCUUGAAUACAUUAGCAUGGAAUAAUGGAAUAGGACUUUGGUUCUAUUUUGUUGGUUUCUAGGACCGAAGUAAUGAUUAAUAGGGACAGUUGGGGGCAUUAGUAUUUAAUUGUCAGAGGUGAAAUUCUUGGAUUUAUGAAAGACUAACUACUGCGAAAGCAUUUGCCAAGGAUGUUUUCAUUAAUCAAGAACGAAAGUUAGGGGAUCGAAGACGAUCAGAUACCGUCGUAGUCUUAACCAUAAACUAUGCCGACUCAGGAUCAUCGAGGUCAUUUUAGCCACGGUGGCACUGUAUGAGAAAUCAAAGUUUUUGGGUUCUGGGGGGAGUAUGGUCGCAAGGCUGAAACUUAAAGGAAUUGACGGAAGGGCACCACCAGGAGUGGAGCCUGCGGCUUAAUUUGACUCAACACGGGGAAACUCACCAGGUCCAGACAUAGUAAGGAUUGACAGAUUGAUAGCUCUUU
rnacentral:rRNA from 1 species